CCAUAUCAUAGUCCUAAAAUUAAAUAUCUAACUAAACUAUAUUAAAUAAUCUCCAAAACAUUUAAUUAUCACAGUAUAGGUGAUAGAACAGAGAACCUUAAGGCACUAUAGCGACAGUACCGCAAGGGAACAUUGAAAUACUCUUAUUUAAGCAAUAAAAAGCAAAGACUAAACCUCGUACCUUUUGCAUAAUGAUUUAGCUAGUCAUUCCGGACAAAAAGAAUUUAAGCCCGUUUCCCCGAAAUUAAGUGAGCUAUUAUAAAACAGUUAUCAGAACGAACUCGUCUAUGUGGCAAAAUAGUGAGAUGAUUUUAUAAUAGCGGUGAAAAGCCUACCGAACUUAAGGAUAGCUGGUUGUCCAAAAAAUGAAUUUAAGUUCAACUUUAAAUCUAAUCAAAGUACCAUCAAACAUAACUUAAAUUUAAAAGAUACUCAUAAGGGGGACAACUCUUAUGAUACGUAAACAAACUUUCUUAGAGGGUAAUGAAUUAACUACAAAUAAAACAUUGUGGGCCUAAAAGCAGCCAUCAAUUAAGAAAGCGUUAAAGCUCAAAUCUAACACACACUUAAUACCAAUAAACUAACAAAACCCCUAAACCAAUAUUGGACAAUUCUAUUAUUAUAUAGAAGAUAUAAUGCUAAUAUGAGUAACAUGAUAUAUAUAUAUAUCUCCUUGCAUAAGCUCAUAACAGACAGGAAACACCCGCUCAACUCUAACAAACAAAUAGUAAAACCCACACACUAGAAGUCUAUCACACCUAUUGUUAACCCGACACAGGCAUGCAUUAAGGAAAGAUUAAAAGGAAUAAAAGGAACUCGGCAAACAAAAACCCCGCCUGUUUACCAAAAACAUCACCUCUAGCACUGACUAGUAUUAGAGGCACUGCCUGCCCGGUGAGUUAUUACUUUAACGGCCGCGGUAUCCUGACCGUGCAAAGGUAGCAUAAUCACUUGUCUUUUAAAUAGAGACUAGUAUGAAUGGCAUAACGAGGGUUUAACUGUCUCUUAUUCCCCAUCAGUGAAAUUGACCUUCCCGUGCAGAGGCGGGAAUAAUGAUACAAGACGAGAAGACCCUGUGGAGCUUAAGACACAUAUCUCAACACAUACGCUACUACACACCUAAGGGACCAAACAGUAUAUUAACUGAGAUAUAGCCUUUGGUUGGGGUGACCUCGGAGCACAAAAAAACCUCCGAAUGAUAUAACCUAGAUUCAACCAAUCUAAGUGUAUUACUACCAGUAAUUGACCCAUAUUUUGAUCAACGGAACAAGUUACCCCAGGGAUAACAGCGCAAUCCUAUUUGAGAGCCCAUAUCGAAAAUCAGGGUUUACGACCUCGAUGUUGGAUCAGGACAUCCCAAUGGUGUAGAAGCUAUUAAUGGUUCGUUUGUUCAACGAUUAAAGUCCUACGUGAUCUGAGUUCAGACCGGAGAAAUCCAGGUCGGUUUCUAUCUGUAACUUAAUUUCUCCCAGUACGAAAGGACAAGAGAAAUGGGGUCAAUAUUAUAAACAAACCCCAGAAUCAACAUAUGAACCCAUCUUAAUAUUUUAAUUCAAUACGUUACACUUCUAGGCCAGAAG
rnacentral:rRNA from 1 species